rnacentral:rRNA from 1 species
UACGUAGGGUGCAAGCGUUUGUCCGGAAUUAUUGGGCGUAAAGAGCUCGUAGGCGGUUUGUCGCGUCGAAUGUGAAAACCCGGGGCUCAACCCCGGGCCUGCAUUCGAUACGGGGCAGACUAGAGUUCGGUAGGGGAGUCUGGAAUUCCUGGUGUAGCGGUGAAAUGCGCAGAUAUCAGGAGGAACACCGGUGGCGAAGGCGGGACUCUGGGCCGAUACUGACGCUGAGGAGCGAAAGCGUGGGGAGCGAACAGG